AUAAGCCUAAGCUAUUAGGCCAAACAGUUUAUAAUUAAUAUAAACCUCUGUGUGUUUUGUUGGGACGGAAUGGCUGCGGGACCGGGCAGGACAGAAACAUCCAUCUACAUCCCAUUAUAAUUCCUGUUUCUCCUCUGCUAGUCCCAGAAAUAACCCCUCCCCCUCCCAGGUGAAAGGAAAUAUUGCACUUUCUGCUCCCGUGACUAAGGUGACACAGGGUUCCGGAAGAACCUUUCAAGAUUAUCAGGAACGUGGGGGUAAGGGCCACUGACCUAACAGAGCAGGAGGAGGCAGCCUGCCCACCCGCCAGUGGAGCGCUCCUCGUCCAAUGACAAGCGCUGCUCCAGACUGCAGCCAGGCGGGGAGCUGUCUCUGCGCUGAGCCCUCCCCUUCAGCAGAGCCUGCAGCACAGGCAGCUUCAUCCACCUCCACCGCCAUCCUACUCACAGUGGCCAUGGCCUCUCUAGGGAUGAGGGCUGAGCUGGGACAAAGGCCUGGAGAGGCUGUCCCAGUGCUAUGCCUACGACCCCUACACUGGGGAAGCUACAGGCACACUGUGGCUAGGGAUGGCCACCCUCAGCACUCACAUCCACACAGGAAGGCUAGAGGAAAUCUGAACCUAAAGUCUAUGGGAAUGUGCACGCCAACAACUUGGGAACACCAGGACUUGGUCAGUGGCCCUUUCCCAAAAGCCAU